rnacentral:rRNA from 1 species
GAUGAACGCUGGCGGCGUGCCUAAUACAUGCAAGUCGAACGAAACUUCUUUAUCACCGAGUGCUUGCACUCACCGAUAAAGAGUUGAGUGGCGAACGGGUGAGUAACACGUGGGCAACCUGCCCAAAAGAGGGGGAUAACACUUGGAAACAGGUGCUAAUACCGCAUAACCAUAGUUACCGCAUGGUAACUAUGUAAAAGGUGGCUAUACUACCGCUUUUGGAUGGGCCCGCGGCGCAUUAGCUAGUUGGUAGGGUAAAGGCUUACCAAGGCAAUGAUGCGUAGCCGAAUUGAGAGGUUGAUCGGCCACAUGGGGACUGCGACACGGCCCAAACUCCUACGGGCGGCAGCAGUAGGGAAUCUUCCACAAUGGGCGAAAGCCUGAUGGAGCAACGCCGCGUGGGUGAAGAAGGUCUUCGGAUCGUAAAACCCUGUUGUUAGAGAAGAAAGUGCGUGAGAGUAACUGUUCACGUUUCGACGGUAUCUAACCGGAAAGCCACGGCUAACUCC